GAGGGUAUAGCUCAGUGACAGAGCACAUGCUUAGCGUGCAUGAGGUCCCGGGUUCAAUUCCCAGUACUUUAA
rnacentral:tRNA from 1 species